GGGCACAAAACAGUACAGCGGCUACAUCCUGCCCUCCCCUCCCCGGUGGCGAGCCAUGAGAGCCACACGCUGGUGGUGCUGUGCGGGCGUGUUGGGCGGCCUUUGCGCACGCACCCUUCCCCGUCUUCAGCACUUCACAGCACUGAAUAGCCUGAAUGAGAGCGUUGCGGAGCUGCGCCGCAAGCUUCAGUCACAGCUGCACCAGAAAAUGCCGCGCAUGCAGACGGUGGAGACGGAGAGUCGCCUCAUCGCGCAGCUCUCCCGCAGCACCCUGGCCGAGGAGCGGGCGGAGGCGCUGGAGAUGGGCGAGGCUAUGUGGGUAGAGCUUCAUGACGCGGGCUCUUCCAUCCCAUUUGGGUCCCGCACGGCGAUGAAGAUCACGCUGUGCUCUUCGCUGCGUCGCUGCGCGCUGGUGAGCAAGAAUCGAGAGCUGGCGGAAACUUGGACCGCGCGCUUUGCCGAGCGGGCAGCGACUCUCUCACCGGCUGACUUCAAGGAGCAGACCUCUACGGCGGGUAAGGUUCCCGGGUGGCGGGAGGCGCGCACGCAGGCGCGCCCUGGCACGGGGAUCGACGCAGACGAUCUCGAGGCCGACGCCAGGGAGGAGGCCGAGGCGGCCGCGAAAGAGGGGGACGCCGGCCAAAGGGGCAGAAAAAAGGAACCUUCCCCUUUCGAGCAGUAUAGGCAGGAAAAGAUGCUAGAGCACCCCACGGUCGAGCUGGCCUUUCGCCGACGUGCCGGGCCGGGCCCACGGUAUACGGGCUGAAACACGUUGAGAUCGAUGCCACUCACCUUGUACACCCUUUUUACCUGCACGCUUGCAGACGUGAGUCUGCGUCGCCUCCACUCCUCUUUGCGCUCCGGCCCUCGCUUUCUUACACGCACACAGAUAUGUGGAUGUGUGCUUCUUUCUGAUCCUCACGGACACACUCUCACAUCCCCCGCAUCGUAGCAACGACAAAAGCAGCAACAACAAAACGGACGGAUGGAAUAAGAGAGCUCAAGGAGAAAAGCUGCCGCGUCUUUCUCCUUGAGCACUAUUAUAUGCGGCAGACACAGCCGCGGCGACUGGGCUGCGCGGCGUUCUCUCUCUUGCGCGCUAUCCGCAUAAACUGCAAGGAGGAGGGGCGAGAACACAAAGAAGAAGAGAGGCGGCACGGCACUCAAGAACAUUGCACAGCUGCUCUAAGACAUGAUCGAGUGUGGGACUUGUAGGGAGGAAAGGAGGGACGAAGAACGUUUUGGGGUGUCAUGUGCCGGUGCUGCAAUUAGUGAGAAGGCUGCUGCCUCUCUCACGCAUGCGAGGAGACUGGACAUCGCCUCCGCUGCUAUUUGCCUUAUCCCUCUUUCCCUUGUCAACUACUGAAACACCCGUCACUGCGU
rnacentral:misc_RNA from 1 species